UACGGGGGGGGGCAAGCGUUGUUCGGAAUUACUGGGCGUAAAGGGCUCGUAGGCGGCCAACUAAGUCAGACGUGAAAUCCCUCGGCUUAACCGGGGAACUGCAUCUGAUACUGGAUGGCUUGAGAUUGGGAGAGGGAUGCGGAAUUCCAGGUGUAGCGGUGAAAUGCGUAGAUAUCGGGAGGAACACCUGUGGCGAAGGCGGCCGCCUGGUUGGAUACUGACGCUGAGACGCGAAAGCGUGGGGAGGCAAACAGGG
rnacentral:rRNA from 1 species